GUAGGUGGCAAGCGUUGUCCGGAAUUAUUGGGCGUAAAGCGCGCGCAGGCGGUUCUUUAAGUCUGAUGUGAAAGCCCACGGCUCAACCGUGGAGGGUCAUUGGAAACUGGAGAACUUGAGUACAGAAGAGGAAAGCGGAAUUCCACGUGUAGCGGUGAAAUGCGUAGAGAUGUGGAGGAACACCAGUGGCGAAGGCGGCUUUCUGGUCUGUAACUGACGCUGAGGCGCGAAAGCGUGGGGAGCAAACAGGGAUUAGAUGCCCUGGUAGUCCACGCCGUAAACGAUGAGUGCUAAGUGUUAGGGGGGUUUCCGCCCCCCUUAGUGCUGCAGCUAACGCAUUAAGCACUCCGCCUGGGAGUACGGCCGCAAGGCUG
rnacentral:rRNA from 1 species